AAAUUGAAGAGUUUGAUCAUGGCUCAGAUUGAACGCUGGCGGCAGGCCUAACACAUGCAAGUCGAACGGUAACAGGAAGCAGCUUGCUGCUUCGCUGACAAGUGGCGGACGGGUGAGUAAUGUCUGGGAAACUGCCUGAUGGAGGGGGAUAACUACUGGAAACG
rnacentral:rRNA from 1 species